UACAGAGGAGCCAAGCGUUGUCCGGAUUGACUGGGCGUAAAGCGCACGCAGGCGGACGCGCGCGUGGGGUGUGAAAUCUGGCCGCUUAACGGCCAGGGGCCAUCCCAUACGGCGGGUCUGGAGCGAUGCAGAGGUCGGUGGAAUUGCCGGUGUAGUGGUGAAAUUCGUAGAUAUUCGCAAGAACACCAGUGGCGAAGGCGGCUCACUGGCCCGAUACUGACGCUGAGGCACGAAGGCCAGGGGAGCAAACGGG
rnacentral:rRNA from 1 species